AACGAACGCUGGCGGCAUGCCUAACACAUGCCAGUCGAACGAGACCUUCGGGUCUAGUGGCGCACGGGUGCGUAACGCGUGGGAACCUGCCCUUAGGUUCGGAAUAACUCCCCGAAAGGGGUGCUAAUACCGGAUAAUGUCUUCGGACCAAAGAUUUAUCGCCUUUGGAUGGGCCCGCGUUGGAUUAGCUAGUUGGUAGGGUAAAAGCCUACCAAGGCGACGAUCCAUAGCUGGUCUGAGAGGAUGAUCAGCCACACUGGGACUGGGACACGGCCCAGACUCCUACGGGAGGCAGCAGUGGGGAAUAUUGGACAAUGGGCGAAAGCCUGAUCCAGCACUGCCGCGUGAGUGAUGAAGGCCUUAGGGUUGUAAAGCUCUUUUAUCCGGGAUGAUAAUGACGGUACCGGGAGAAUAAGCUCCGGCUAACUCCGUG
rnacentral:rRNA from 1 species